rnacentral:tRNA from 1 species
GGUGGUUCAGUGAUAGAACACUUGCCUUGCAUGCAUGAGGCCUGGGUUCGAUUCCUCAGCACCA